UUACGGCCAUGUCACGUUGGCACACCGGAUCCCAAACGAUCACCGAAGUUAAGUAACGUCGAGCUUAGUUAGUUUCUAGAUGGGUAACCGCUUGGAAAUACCAGGUACUGUAAG